rnacentral:rRNA from 1 species
AGCCCGUUAAUGGGUGAUGGCGUGCCUUUUGUAGAAUGAACCGGCGAGUUACGAUUUGAUGCAAGGUUAAGCAGUAAAUGUGGAGCCGUAGCGAAAGCGAGUCUGAAUAGGGCGUUUAGUAUUUGGUCGUAGACCCGAAACCAGGUGAUCUACCCUUGGUCAGGUUGAAGUUCAGGUAACACUGAAUGGAGGACCGAACCGACUUACGUUGAAAAGUGAGCGGAUGAACUGAGGGUAGCGGAGAAAUUCCAAUCGAACCUGGAGAUAGCUGGUUCUCUCCGAAAUAGCUUUAGGGCUAGCCUCAAGUGAUGAUUAUUGGAGGUAGAGCACUGUUUGGACGAGGGGCCCCUCUCGGGUUACCGAAUUCAGACAAACUCCGAAUGCCAAUUAAUUUAACUUGGGAGUCAGAACAUGGGUGAUAAGGUCCGUGUUCGAAAGGGAAACAGCCCAGACCACCAGCUAAGGUCCCAAAAUAUAUGUUAAGUGGAAAAGGAUGUGGCGUUGCCCAGACAACUAGGAUGUUGGCUUAGAAGCAGCCAUCAUUUAAAGAGUGCGUAAUAGCUCACUAGUCGAGUGACACUGCGCCGAAAAUGUACCGGGGCUAAACAUAUUACCGAAGCUGUGGAUUGUCCUUUGGACAAUGGUAGGAGAGCGUUCUAAGGGCGUUGAAGCAUGAUCGUAAGGACAUGUGGAGCGCUUAGAAGUGAGAAUGCCGGUGUGAGUAGCGAAAGACGGGUGAGAAUCCCGUCCACCGAUUGACUAAGGUUUCCAGAGGAAGGCUCGUCCGCUCUGGGUUAGUCGGGUCCUAAGCUGAGGCCGACAGGCGUAGGCGAUGGAUAACAGGUUGAUAUUCCUGUACCACCUAUAAUCGUUUUAAUCGAUGGGGGGACGCAGUAGGAUAGGCGAAGCGUGCGAUUGGAUUGCACGUCUAAGCAGUAAGGCUGAGUAUUAGGCAAAUCCGGUACUCGUUAAGGCUGAGCUGUGAUGGGGAGAAGACAUUGAGUCUUCGAGUCGUUGAUUUCACACUGCCGAGAAAAGCCUCUAGAUAGAAAAUAGGUGCCCGUACCGCAAACCGACACAGGUAGUCAAGAUGAGAAUUCUAAGGUGAGCGAGCGAACUCUCGUUAAGGAACUCGGCAAAAUGACCCCGUAACUUCGGGAGAAGGGGUGCUCUUUAGGGUUAACGCCCAGAAGAGCCGCAGUGAAUAGGCCCAAGCGACUGUUUAUCAAAAACACAGGUCUCUGCUAAACCGUAAGGUGAUGUAUAGGGGCUGACGCCUGCCCGGUGCUGGAAGGUUAAGAGGAGUGGUUAGCUUCUGCGAAGCUACGAAUCGAAGCCCCAGUAAACGGCGGCCGUAACUAUAACGGUCCUAAGGUAGCGAAAUUCCUUGUCGGGUAAGUUCCGACCCGCACGAAAGGCGUAACGAUUUGGGCACUGUCUCAACGAGAGACUCGGUGAAAUCAUAGUACCUGUGAAGAUGCAGGUUACCCGCGACAGGACGGAAAGACCCCGUGGAGCUUUACUGUAGCCUGAUAUUGAAAUUCGGCACAGCUUGUACAGGAUAGGUAGGAGCCUUUGAAACGUGAGCGCUAGCUUACGUGGAGGCGCUGGUGGGAUACUACCCUAGCUGUGUUGGCUUUCUAACCCGCACCACUUAUCGUGGUGGGAGACAGUGUCAGGCGGGCAGUUUGACUGGGGCGGUCGCCUCCUAAAAGGUAACGGAGGCGCUCAAAGGUUCCCUCAGAAUGGUUGGAAAUCAUUCAUAGAGUGUAAAGGCAUAAGGGAGCUUGACUGCGAGACCUACAAGUCGAGCAGGGUCGAAAGACGGACUUAGUGAUCCGGUGGUUCCGCAUGGAAGGGCCAUCGCUCAACGGAUAAAAGCUACCCCGGGGAUAACAGGCUUAUCUCCCCCAAGAGUUCACAUCGACGGGGAGGUUUGGCACCUCGAUGUCGGCUCAUCGCAUCCUGGGGCUGUAGUCGGUCCCAAGGGUUGGGCUGUUCGCCCAUUAAAGCGGUACGCGAGCUGGGUUCAGAACGUCGUGAGACAGUUCGGUCCCUAUCCGUCGUGGGCGUAGGAAAUUUGAGAGGAGCUGUCCUUAGUACGAGAGGACCGGGAUGGACAUACCUCUGGUGUACCAGUUGUCGUGCCAACGGCAUAGCUGGGUAGCUAUGUGUGGACGGGAUAAGUGCUGAAAGCAUCUAAGCAUGAAGCCCCCCUCAAGAUGAGAUUUCCCAACUUCGGUUAUAAGAUCCCUCAAAGAUGAUGAGGUUAAUAGGUUCGAGGUGGAAGCAUGGUGACAUGUGGAGCUGACGAAUACUAAUCGAUCGAAGACUUAAUCAA